UACGAGGGGGGCGAGCGUUGUUCGGAAUUAUUGGGCGUAAAGGGUGCGUAGGCGGUUCCGCAAGUCCUGUGUGAAAUCUUCGGGCUCAACUCGAAGUCUGCACGGGAAACUGCGGGGCUUGAGUGUGGGAGAGGUGAGUGGAAUUCCCGGUGUAGCGGUGAAAUGCGUAGAUAUCGGGGAGGAACACCUGUGGCGAAAAGCGGCUCACUGGACCAUAACUGACGCUGAGGCGCGAAAGCUAGGGGAGCAAACAGG
rnacentral:rRNA from 1 species